rnacentral:rRNA from 1 species
AAUGAACGCUGGCGGCGUGGUUAAGACAUGCAAGUCGAACGGUUUUUUUGGUGUAGCAAUAUAUUGAAAAGGCAGUGGCGAACGGGUGCGUAACACGUGAACAAUCCACCUUUUAGUGUGGAAUAGCUCGUCGAAAGGCGAAUUAAUACCGCAUGUGAUUGAUGUCCUCCUGGAUGUCAUAUUAAAGUCGGGGACCGCAAGGCCCGACGCUAGAAGAGGAGUUCGCGGCCUAUCAGCUAGUUGGUGAGGUAACGGCCCACCAAGGCUAAGACGGGUAGCCGGUCUGAGAGGAUGAUCGGCCACACUGGAACUGAGACACGGUCCAGACACCUACGGGUGGCGGCAGUUUCGAAUCAUUCACAAUGGGCGAAAGCCUGAUGGUGCGACGCCGCGUGAGGGAUGAAGGUCUUCGGAUUGUAAACCUCUGUCACUGGGGAAGAAACGCUAAGUCCUAAUACGGCUUAGCCUGACUUAACCCGGAGAGGAAGCAGUGGCUAACUCUGUGCCAGCAGCCGCGGUAAAAC